UCGAGCACAUGAAUUCGAUUUCAUUAUCGUUGUAUCAUUCUACGUAGGUUAACAACAUUUUUAAGCCAAAAUUUCAGUUAGUAAACUAAUAAAACAAAUUUUAGAAUUAUGACUACUCCGAAGUGCCAAAGCUAACAACAAAUCGUCGGUCUAAAAAUGACAAAAGGUCGCCAGAGUAACCCGCAAUGGAUACCUAAACUUUUUACGUUAGUUUAAGGAACAAAAUUGCGGCCUUUCGCCCCAGGAGACUGUCCGUAAAGAAGCAAAGGCUUGGAAUCUACUAACUUGCGCAGAAAACAAAAAUUCAAUUAAUGGAAUUCAACCAAAAACCAAAGGCAUCGAAAAAUAAAUGUGAUUAAGGUGAGCCUUGUCCAUAUCCUAUUGUUGACAUGAAGAAAAGAUACUAAGAAUAAAAAAACUCCAGAGAAAACCGCUAAAAAAAGACGCCAGAAAACACGCCAUAAAAGACGGCAGAAAAGGCGCCAUAAAAGACGCCAAAAAGACGUCAGAAUAGACAUAUGUAAAAAAAGCUUCCUAUAAUUAAAUAUAAGUUUAAAACUCAGUUUUUAAAUCCAUUUUCAAAAUUCAUUGUUUGCCAAAUGUGAGUCAAUGAAUAGUUAUUAAAUUAAAGCAUAACUAAUUCACUAAU